GAUGAAGAACGUAGCGAAAUGCGAUACGUAAUGCGAAUUGCAGAAUUCAGUGAAUCAUCAAAUCUUUGAACGCAAAUGGCACUGUCGGGUAACCGGCAGUACGUUUCUUUCAGCGUCGUUUCAACAACACUCAGGCUGCGCCUUUUUAAGGCAAAAGCUUGGAUAUUGAGUGUCACAAUUCGAAAGGACUGUGUCACUUUAAAACUAGCGGAAAGACAUGUGCUUUAGCACACUGCACCAAUUACUUGGCAGUGACGUGGAUAAUUUCACUUAUGUGAAUCUUUACGUGACUGUUUUCAAAGAACAGUGUAUGUGCGGCUUGUCGCAACAGUUGGUUCCGAUAUUGAGGACUUCAAGUCUUCAACUAACACUUCGACUAAGACCUGAAAUGAAGCGAGAAUACCCGCCGAACUUAAGCAUAUCAAUAAGCGGAGGA
rnacentral:misc_RNA from 1 species